rnacentral:lncRNA from 1 species
GCAGCGACAGCCUGGGUGGGGGUUACUGUGGGGCUAGGCCAGAGUCUAGCGUCACACAUCCCCACCACCAUGCCUUGCAGCCCCAUCUGCCUCGAAAGGUAGACACAGCUGCACAGACCAACAGCCGCCUGGCUCGACCCACAAGGCUGUCCUUGGGGGAUCCCAAGGCAAGCACUUUACCCCGGGUACGAGAGCAACAGCAGCAGCAGCAACAGCAGCAGCAGUCUUCCCUGCACCCUCCCGAGCCCAAAAGCCCAGGAGAAUAUGUGAAUAUUGAAUUCGGGAGUGGCCAGCCAGGCUAUUUAGCUGGCCCUGCAACUUCCCGUAGCUCCCCUUCAGUUCGAUGUCUACCCCAGCUCCACCCAGCUCCCAGAGAAGAGACUGGCUCGGAAGAGUACA